GGCGAGUGAAGCGGCAACAGCUCAAAUUUGAAAGCUAGCCUUCGGGUUCGCAUUGUAAUUUGUAGAGGAUGAUUUGGGGAAGCCGCCUGUCUAAGUUCCUUGGAACAGGACGUCAUAGAGGGUGAGAAUCCCGUAUGUGACAGGAAAUGGCACCCUAUGUAAAUCUCCUUCGACGAGUCGAGUUGUUUGGGAAUGCAGCUCUAAAUGGGAGGUAAAUUUCUUCUAAAGCUAAAUAUUGGCGAGAGACCGAUAGCGCACAAGUAGAGUGAUCGAAAGAUGAAAAGCACUUUGGAAAGAGAGUUAAAAAGCACGUGAAAUUGUUGAAAGGGAAGCGCUUGCAAUCAGACUUGUUUAAACUGUUCGGCCGGUCUUCUGACCGGUUUACUCAGUUUGGACAGGCCAGCAUCAGUUUCGGCGGCCGGAUAAAGGCUCUGGGAAUGUGGCCUCCACUUCGGUGGAGGUGUUAUAGCCCAGGGUGUAAUACGGCCAGCCGGGACUGAGGUCCGCG
rnacentral:rRNA from 1 species